GAAAUGCGAUAAGUAAUGUGAAUUGCAGAAUUCCGUGAAUCAUCGAAUCUUUGAACGCACAUUGCGCCCUCUGGUAUUCCGGGGGGCAUGCCUGUCCGAGCGUCAUUGCGAACCCCUCAAGCACGGCUUGUGUGAUGGGCCCUCCCGCGUCUUGGUCGUCAAGACGGGCCCGAAAAGCAGUGGCGGCUUCGCGGUUAUCCGCUCAGCCAGAGCGUAUGGGGACUUUCUCUCUGUCACACGCCCGCGGCGCGUACCGACGCCUGUCGACCUUUAUUCAUCUUUUUCUCGGUUGACCUCGGAUCAGGUAGGGAUACCCGCUGAACUUAAGC
rnacentral:misc_RNA from 1 species